rnacentral:rRNA from 1 species
GAUGAACGCUGGCGGCGUGCUUAACACAUGCAAGUCGAACGGAAAGGCCCAAGAUUGCUUGGGUACUCGAGUGGCGAACGGGUGAGUAACACGUGGGUGAUCUGCCCUGCACUUCGGGAUAAGCCUGGGAAACUGGGUCUAAUACCGGAUAGGACCACAUUUUGGAUGGUGUGGUGGAAAGUUUUUCGGUGUGGGAUGAGCUCGCGGCCUAUCAGCUUGUUGGUGGGGUAAUGGCCUACCAAGGCGUCGACGGGUAGCCGGCCUGAGAGGGUGUACGGCCACAUUGGGACUGAGAUACGGCCCAGACUCCGACGGGAGGCAGCAGUGGGGAAGAUUGCACAAUGGGCGCAAGCCUGAUGCAGCGACGCCGCGUGGGGGAUGACGGCCUUCGGGUUGUAAACUCCUUUCGCUAGGGACGAAGCGUUAUGUGACGGUACCUGGAGAAGAAGCACCGGCUAACUACGUG